UACGAAGGGGGCUAGCGUUGCUCGGAAUGACUGGGCGUAAAGGGCGCGUAGGCGGCAUAUCCAGUUAGGCGUGAAAUUCCUGGGCUCAACCUGGGGACUGCGCUUAAUACAGGUAGGCUAGAGUGUGAAAGAGGGUCGUGGAAUUUCCAGUGUAGAGGUGAAAUUCGUAGAUAUUGGAAAAGAACACCGGUGGCGAAGGCGGCGACCUGGUUCAUUACUGACGCUGAGGCGCGAAAAGCGUGGGGAGCAAACAGG
rnacentral:rRNA from 1 species